rnacentral:rRNA from 1 species
GUGGGGAAUAUUGGACAAUGGGCGAAAGCCUGAUCCAGCCAUGCGGCGUGUGUGAAGAAGGUCUUCGGAUUGUAAAGCACUUUAAGUUGGGAGGAAGGGCAUUAACCUAAUACGUUAGUGUUUUAACGUUACCGACAGAAUAAGCACCGGCUAACUUCGUGCCAGCAGCCGCGAUAAUACGAAGGGUGCAAGCGUUAAUCGGAAUUACUGGGCGUAAAGCGCGCGUAGGUGGUUCGUUAAGUUGGAUGUGAAAGCCCCGGGCUCAACCUGGGAACUGCAUCCAAAACUGGCGAGCUAGAGUACGGUAGAGGGUGGUGGAAUUUCCUGUGUAGCGGUGAAAUGCGUAGAUAUAGGAAGGAACACCAGUGGCGAAGGCGACCACCUGGACUGAUACUGACACUGAGGUGCGAAAGCGUGGGGAGCAAACAGGAUUAGAUACCCUUGUAGUCC